GUCAAACCACCGAAAGAACGAUUUUCAGAAAUUUUUCCACAAAAAAGAAUGUAGUACUAGCAUUUUCAACGUAAACUGCUAUUCAGCCAUAGUUUAACAGAUAUACCAAUGUGAACCUGAUAACAAUCCGUGUAAAUAAUCCUUUUAUGGUCACAUAACCUUAUAUCAGGAGAUUGAUCUAUAUGCCAGUUAUAUCGAAAUAUGGUCCGGUCUCAACAAUAUUGGGCAAGCAUAUUUAGGGGUCUAAUCGAGAGCGGGAUGGUGUAUAAUGCAACAAAGCCCAAGCCAUGACCAUUCUUUUCCGAAACAACUUUGUGCAAGUUUUAUAACUUGAUGCUGAUAGUUGCCAAUGUGGUAUGAAACAAAGCACUCGAUUAUGUUUUUAGAUAUAUACUAAACCUUUCCGGUGGCUCACGUGCUACAUGGCUUAAAGUGUCUGGAUAUUGAGUCGAAAGUCUAAGUUUAUAUUCAGCAAGGGUAAGAAAAAGUAUCUACCAGCUUUUGUAAGAUUUGUGAACGUUUACGCCAUGUAAAUGAUUACAACAAAAUUUGCCUAAGCACAUAUGUAAAUUCUAAUACACUCCCAACUUCUAUUGGAAGCAACAUAGUAAAUUUUAAACUACAAUAAUAUAAACAUUGAUAGCAAAUUAAUAAAAUAAUAAAAUG
rnacentral:sRNA from 1 species